rnacentral:sRNA from 2 species
CCACCCAAUGCGCCGCCAAUGCCGGCCUCGGUGGUGCCGCCUGCCAUGGCAACGCCGCUGAGCAAGCUGAAAGACAACAACAGUAUCGAGGAGUACUUCUUCAUCAAGAGAGCCUCAUAAGGAUGACGAGGCGAUUUUUGAGCCUUACAGGCGCGCCUGGCAACGGAAAUCCGACGAGUAACACGAGUUGUACACAAUUCUCUAACUUACUGUAUUUACUGUGAAACUUUAUCGUUUUUUCGCUGUCUUAGACUUUUAUGACGAAGCCCUGAACCACAUUGGAACAGGGCUUUUUUGAUUUUUGCGUAGGGGCUUCCGGCCUCUUCGCGGGUAAACCCGCUCCCACAGGGAUACUACCAGUCUCAGUCCUUGAGUUGCCUCUGUGGGAGCGGGUUU